rnacentral:rRNA from 1 species
UACGUAGGGGGCGAGCGUUGUCCGGAUUUAUUGGACGUAAAGGGCGCGUAGGCGGUUUCUUAAGUUUGAAGUGACAGUGGGUGGCUUAACUACCCAAGGCCUUUGAAAACUGGGGAACUUGAGGACCAGAGAGGGACAUAGAAUUCCGGGUGGAGUGGUGAAAUGCGUAGAUAUCCGGAGGAAUACCAAAGGCGAAGGCAGUGUCCUGGAGGGUGACUGACGCUGAGGCGCGAAAGUGUGGGGAGCGAACAGG